rnacentral:rRNA from 1 species
GAUCCUGGCUCAGGAUGAACGCUAGCUACAGGCUUAACACAUGCAAGUCGAGGGGCAUCAGGAAGAAAGCUUGCUUUCUUUGCUGGCGACCGGCGCACGGGUGAGUAACACGUAUCCAACCUGCCGAUGACUCGGGGAUAGCCUUUCGAAAGAAAGAUUAAUACCCGAUGGUAUAUCUGAAAGGCAUCUUUCAGCUAUUAAAGAAUUUCGGUCAUUGAUGGGGAUGCGUUCCAUUAGGUUG